rnacentral:lncRNA from 1 species
GAAAUUUUCAGUGCCCCUCUGAGAAUCAAUUCUGCUUCUGGUUGCAGGUGAGCAAAGACGGACCAGUCUGGCACGAUGAAAUUCCAGGUCCUCAUUUUGCUGAUGGUGGCUUAUUUCCACAUUGGGAAUAGCCAAGGUUCCUAUGAAGAUUGCUGCCUGUCUUACCACACGAGGAUCGAUCCACGCAUGCUGCCACAUAUAAGGCGGUACACUAUCCAGAGGGUGAAUGGGAGCUGCAACUUGCAUGCGGUGAUCUUUCACUUCCGGAGGCGUAAAGUACUUCUCUGCGCUAACCCUCAGGAGGAGUGGGUGAAAUUGGCAAAGAAAAGAGUGGAUGAGAGGUUCAGGCACUCGAAGAAACUCCAAGUAGGAGUGACCAGGACCAGUUUGCCCCAUCCUCGUGCCAUGCCUCACUCUCCCACCACUCUACAGAAUUCCUCCCAGCGGGGGCAGGGGUAGGGAUCCAGGAAGGGGAGCUCUCGGGAACUCAGCAGUCAACAUGGACCCCAAGGGGAAAAUGGAGCUGCAGUACCACUGUUUCUGACCUAAUGUCACUUCUGGAAUUUUCCACGUGAUUGUAAAUGUCUUCCAAGAAAAGGUCUGCCACACACACUGGAUCGGUCAGUUUAUGCUACACCAUAUUGUCCCCUGUAGAGGGUGAGAAGGGACUGUCUGGAGAAACUCACCUACUCUCGUGUUCUGGGAAUUGGCAUCCUGGACCAACUGGGGUGCCCAAUUGGAAAUCACCCCUCACCCCCCCCACCUCCAAAAGGGGGUUUCAGGGAGAGCGAGUCAGGCCUCCCACUAAGCCUGGAGCCAGAGGCAUUGAAGAGCGUAUGGAGGAUGUGACUUUGCCAUAGGAGUGGGAGCAGCUGUACACUUUGAAAUGCCAAGGUGGGUGCCGCCCUUUGUGGUUAACACAGAGAGAGGAGAAGACCUGGGUUCACCCCUCUGAGAGUUGGGAGUCUGACUGGAGGACUCGCACUCAGAUGAACAAGGAGACCCUAAAACACCAAAUCAAGAAAAAAAAUCUAGUAUUUACCUAGGUCUUUAGCUCACCAGAGUUCUCUGGUUGGGGUGGUCCCUUAGGUCCUGGAUGCACAGCAGGAUUACUAACAGAUGUUACAGGAGUGGAGGGGUGAAGGAAGGGAAACAGGAGAUAAAAAAUGAGUUUUCAUUUACACUGGGAGGUUCCCACAACUGAGAACUGGGAAGAGGUGGAUGGUGCCUUAUGAUUCUUUCCACCUUCUCUUUGGUUCAAUAUGGUACUUGUCAAGCAUUAGGAUUCCAGCAGGCUGAUCUUUGGUUUGUGUGAAGGGGUUUGGGGUUUAAUUCACAUGGGUUUUCUAUUUUUUUUUGUAAGUUUGUUAAAUAAACUUGUAUAGAAAAAGA